GAUGAACGCUGGCGGCGUGCCUAAUACAUGCAAGUCGAGCGAACAGACGUGCAGCUUGCUCCUCUGACGUUAGCGGCGGACGGGGGAGUAACACGUGGAUAACCUACCUAUAAGACUGGGAUUACUUCGGGAAACCGGAGCUAAUACCGAAUAACAUGUUGAACCGCAUGGUUCAACCGUGAAAGACGGUCUUGCUGUCACUUAUAGAUGGAUCCGCGCCGCAUUAGCUAGUUGGUAAGGUAACGGUUUACCAAGGCAACGAUGCGUAGCCGACCUGCGAGGGUGAUCGGCCACACUGGAACUGAGACACGGUCCAGACUCCUACGGGAGGCAGCAGUAGCGAAUCUUCCGCAAUGGGCGAAAGCCUGACGGAGCAACGCCGCGUGAGUGAAGAAGGUCUUGGGAUCGGAAUACUCUGUUAUUAGGGAAGAACAGAUGUGUAAGUAACUAUGCACGUCGUGACGGUACCGAAUCAAAAAGCCACGGCUAACUACGUG
rnacentral:rRNA from 1 species